CUACGGGUUGCUCCAGUGAGGAAUAUUGCACAAUGGGGGAAACCCUGAUGCAGCAACGCCGCGUGGAGGAUGACGCAUUUCGGUGUGUAAACUCCUUUUAUGAGUCAAGAAAAUGACGGUAGCUCAUGAAUAAGCACCGGCUAACUCCGUGCCAGCAGCCGCGGUAAUACGGAGGGUGCAAGCGUUACUCGGAAUCACUGGGCGUAAAGGACGCGUAGGCGGGCUUGUAGGUCAGGUGUGAAAUCCUACAGCUUAACUGUAGAACUGCACUCGAAACUACGAGCCUAGAGUAUGGGAGGGGCAGAUGGAAUUAGUGGUGUAGGGGUAAAAUCCGUAGAUAUCACUAGGAAUACCGAAAGCGAAGGCGAUCUGCUGGAACAUUACUGACGCUAAGGCGUGAAAGCGUGGGGAGCAAACGGGAUUAGAUACCCCGGUAGUC
rnacentral:rRNA from 1 species